GAUGAACGCUGGCGGCGUGCUUAACACAUGCAAGUCGAACGAUGAUGCCAGCUUGCUGGUGGAUUAGUGGCGAACGGGUGAGUAACACGUGAGUUACCUGCCCUUGACUCUGGGAUAAGCCUGGGAAACUGGGUUCUAAUACCGGAUAUGACCUUCCAUCGCAUGGUGGUUGGUGGAAAGCUUUUGUGGUUUUGGAUGGACUCGCGGCCUAUCAGCUUUGUUGGUGGGGUAAUGGCCUACCAAGGCGACGACGGGUAGCCGGCCUGAGAGGGUGACCGGCCACACUGGGACUGAGACACGGCCCAGACUCCUACGGGAGGCAGCAGUGGGGAAUAUUGCACAAUGGGCGAAAGCCUGAUGCAGCGACGCCGCGUGAGGGAUGACGGCCUUCGGGUUGUAAACCUCUUUCAGUAGGGAAGAAGCGUAAGUGACGGUACCUGCAGAAGAAGCGCCGGCUAACUACGUGCCAGCAGCCGCGGUAAUACGUAGGGCGCAAGCGUUAUCCGGAAUUAUUGGGCGUAAAGAGCUCGUAGGCGGUUUGUCGCGUCUGCCGUGAAAGUCCGGGGCUCAACUCCGGAUCUGCGGUGGGUACGGGCAGACUAGAGUGAUGUAGGGGAGACUGGAAUUCCUGGUGUAGCGGUGAAAUGCGCAGAUAUCAGGAGGAACACCGAUGGCGAAGGCAGGUCUCUGGGCAUUAACUGACGCUGAGGAGCGAAAGCAUGGGGAGCGAACAGGAUUAGAUACCCUGGUAGUCCAUGCCGUAAACGUUGGGCACUAGGUGUGGGGGACAUUCCACGUUUUCCGCGCCGUAGCUAACGCAUUAAGUGCCCCGCCUGGGGAGUACGGCCGCAAGGCUAAAACUCAAAGGAAUUGACGGGGGCCCGCACAAGCGGCGGAGCAUGCGGAUUAAUUCGAUGCAACGCGAAGAACCUUACCAAGGCUUGACAUGAACCGGACCGCUGCAGAAAUGUGGUUUCCCCUUGGGGCUGGUUUACAGGUGGUGCAUGGUUGUCGUCAGCUCGUGUCGUGAGAUGUUGGGUUAAGUCCCGCAACGAGCGCAACCCUCGUUCUAUGUUGCCAGCACGUGAUGGUGGGGACUCAUAGGAGACUGCCGGGGUCAACUCGGAGGAAGGUGGGGACGACGUCAAAUCAUCAUGCCCCUUAUGUCUUGGGCUUCACGCAUGCUACAAUGGCCGGUACAAAGGGUUGCGAUACUGUGAGGUGGAGCUAAUCCCAAAAAGCCGGUCUCAGUUCGGAUUGGGGUCUGCAACUCGACCCCAUGAAGUCGGAGUCGCUAGUAAUCGCAGAUCAGCAACGCUGCGGUGAAUACGUUCCCGGGCCUUGUA
rnacentral:rRNA from 1 species